CUAUUUACACGGGAAAGGGGGCGGUGGCAUCCGACGGAGAAGAGGGGAAGAGGCAUCCGACGAUGAGCGGCUCGCUCGAAGAAACUCCGCUCCGCCUGGUUGGAAGACGAACGGAUCCGGUGAAGAGGACAUCGGUUACCUCACUGCCACAACCUCUUGCUCCUCCUGCAUUCACUCCACCGACUCAAUCUCCAGGUUGAUUUUUUUUCGUUUUUCUUCGAGCUAAUCAAAUCCAAUUGUUAGAUUCUUUUGGAAUUGGAGGCAGCAUCAUCUCUUCGGUUUGAGGAGACGAGGGUGGCAACGAUUCGCAGGCACUGGCUUUGGGAACUCUAUCUUUUGUAGUCGCAUCACGCGGGUUACUCCGCCGUUACCCAGACUUUUUCUCAGAUAGUGGUCUGACUUGGGUGUUGGAGGUUUGGAAUUGCAGUGUGCGACCAUGAUGGCAACGCUUGAGCUUGGACUUAAAAUUUGGAUGUUCUGCCCUCUAAUUCCGUGAGAGAAAUCAAUUUCUUGAACUUCACAGUUGGUGGAAGAUACUAUAUGUGCUUUGUGAUGAUGUCACAGAAGAUAUGAAGAUCUAAUUGUUCAGAUAUUUGUGCUUGCAACUGGUGAAGCAGUUCACCAUUUUGAUUGGGAGCAUUUGCAGGAUGAAACAUCUCUACCAACUUAACAUAGAAAUAGAGGGGGCCUCAAUAGCUGGGUAGGAAGAGAGCAUGAUGUCAGUUGCUAGGGACAGUGGAAGAGAGAAAGCAAGAAAAGCGUGAGGAGAGAAUUAGAGCUGAAACAUUUGAAGGAGAUGAAGUGGCCGAAAGGAGAAGAGAAAAGGAGGGAUCUUUAAUGUUUUCAGUGUUAAUACCCCCUUUCGAGAGGAUGGUGCAUUCCUCUGAUGGUGGUUCCACUACCAAGUCUAGGUGGCACCAGCACCCAUAUGCCGUGUAGCUCCCUGUCUCUCCCGUUGCACUGCACUGAGAGAUGGAGUUAGUGUUAGAUAGAGGUGAAAAGAGAAAUGGGGACUGAAAUGGAGGGUGAGAAACCUAAAAGAUCUAAGAAAGAUGAAUGUGGAUGUGGACUAGGAUUUCAUACCCGAGUAUCUGUAAAUUUCAUAUUUUUGUUGUCUUGUUGAUGGAACUGAUAGAUCGAGGAUCUUUUUCCAUCUUGGUCAUCUUUUUUCUUUUUGGAAGAAAUGCAAUGCUUGUAUAUUUGUAGCACGCAGAAAAGAUCAUUUAGUGUGGUCAUAAGGAUGUGUACAUAGUAUGCUUGCUUCCUUCGUAUGUUCUUGACAAUUGUAACUUCAUGCAGAAUCUUGAAGGGAUUAUUUCCAUGAACAAAGUUAGUAUUCUACACGAGUUACUUGCCUAGCAUCACAGCAUUGUCGCAGCCCAAGACAUAAUUGCUUUCUUAUGGAAGCAAAAUCUUUGUUUUUGGCCUAUGCUGACUUUAGUAUCAUGCUGGGUUGGAUUGAAUCCUAACCUGCAUGACCUGACCCGAUCACUGGACUAGUCCGGUUUGCCGAUUUUCAAAAUUGGGUCUUGGUUAGGGUGACCUGAAGGCCUAAAUUCAUCCAAAUUCCAGUCUGAGCCUAGUUUAACUCAGUCCCACAAAUUUAGUAAUUUGAUAUAUACCAUACAUAACAUAAAAAAAUCUAUGUAGUCUUGGUCAUUUAUUCUCCCAGAAGACUGCACUGGCAGUACGGACUCUCAUACUAAGAAUGAGCAUGGAUGUCAGACUAGUCACUAAUUGAGCAUUGUACAAUGCAUUCAGAUUUUGCACAAGCAAAAUUUUCAAAUGACAUGGAGCAAGAUUUUAGGGGGGGAGCAUUGAUGCUACGGUGAGGUUGUAUCUUUGUGACUUGGGUGACUUAAGGUAUGAGUCAUAGUAUCGUCCUCUCAAUUUGCAGAGUUUCGGUUAAAUACAUUGACCCUACCUACCCAUCUCUGCGUUGCUAGGAACCCCAUGUGGUGGACUAUUCCUUUUUCAGUUGAGUGAGAUUCUAUCAUAGUAGCUGUUUGUGAAGUAAUUUUAUCCCCAGAGGUGAAGAUAUGAUAGCCUGCAUUUGAGUGUCUGGUUGCUAUCGUCUGCUCAGUAAUUACUAUGACAAACUUGCAUCAUACAAGUAGGACAUAAUCAACAAUGAAGCAAGAGCUGUGAGGGGAGAUGAGGAGCCUACUGCUCUUCAGGCCAUAGAGCUCAUACCUGUGUUAAUGAGUUUGGCCUCUUAAAUGAAUAUUUCUGAUAUUCCUUGCUAUACUCUGUUGAGCAAGCAGUACCAGCUUUGGUUCCAAUGUUAUUGGAGGUACUUCUCAUGCAAGAUGAGGAGAUUGGUGAACUUGAUGCAGGUCACCAUCUUAUGAGAUCUUCAUUCACAAGCUGUGCUAUGAUACACUCAUGCAAACACAGAUCAAGAGCAAUAAACACAAAGGAUAUGGACAAUAAGCAGGUCAACUUCAUGAAUGCUGUAUCCUUGAUAUGAUGGCGACCACCCAUGUCAUGGACCUGAUUGUCUGAAGAUUACAUUGGUGACAGGUCACACUAGAGACAUCGUCGUCUUUCUUUACCACCACAUGCAAUAUCUUUCUGGUGGAGAACAGGCAAGCAGGAAUUCUGACGUAGCCGAAGUUAGUGCAGUUGACUUGUAGCUAAUGGAUUUCAUCAUCAUUGUCCAGAGCAAUCAUGGGUGGUGGACCAUGCCAAAAGCUGCAAAGGCAUGCAUCUCCAUCUGCUGCUGCCCAAGCAUAAAAGAAGCCUUGGUCCCGACCCUCUUGAAACCUUCCUAAGUGCCUACUGAGAACAGCAACAAUAACCUCGACCAUGCCAGCCUCGUUGGGAGUUCAGAAGAUGGAACUUAUCCUGCCUUGCAGGUGACCAAGGUGCAUACGAGAAAGGCGUUGAUAGAGUUCACCCUGGAUUAUGACUACGGAGGACCCAACCCUAGGCAUGAUCCCAGGAAAGGAAAGCCAGGCAGGGGUCUGUAGCUUGGAUUCUCCUCUAUGAGAGAGAUUACUGCAUAAGAAGAGCCAACCAGCUAUACUCUCUUCCUACAGUGCUUAAAACUCUUUAUAUCUAUUGCAGCUAUACACCGAGCAACAGAGGUUAGGAUCCAGAUAUGGUUUUUGUUUUGACAGUGUGGCAAAGAAGGGAUGUAAUAGUUAGUUUGCCAUUGAGUUGCUGAAGUGCUAUGAAAUAAUAUUACAGUUUGAGCAUAUAAUGAAUGGAAGGGAGAAGGUUUGUUGUUGGUUGUCUAAAC